UACGUAGGGACCGAGCGUUGUCCGGAAUCAUUGGGCGUAAAGAGCGUGUAGGCGGCCACUUAAGUCCUGCGUGAAAUCCUGCGGCUUAACCGCAGGGCUGCCUUCUAAACUGUCGGGCUAGAGCACGGUAGAGGCAGAUGGAAUUCCCGGUGUAGCGGUGGAAUGCGUAGAGAUCGGGAAGAACAUCAGUGGCGAAGGCGGUCUGCUGGGCCGUUGCUGACGCUGAGGCGCGACAGCGUGGGGAGCAAACAGG
rnacentral:rRNA from 1 species